AUUGAACGCUGGCGGCAGGCUUAACACAUGCAAGUCGAACGAGUGGCGGACGGGUGAGUAAUAAUUGGGAAUCUACCUGAUGGAGGGGGAUAACUAAGGGAAACUGUCGCUAAUUCCUCCUACCAUAGGAUGAGCCCAUGUGGGAUGGGCUUGUGGGUGGGGUAAUGGCGCACCUAGGCGACGAUGCCUAGCUGGUCCGAGAGGAUGACCAGCUACACUGGAACUGCGACACGGUCCAGACUCCUACGGGCGGCAGCGGUGGGGAAUAUUGCACAAUGGGCGAAAGCCUGAUACAGCGAUGCCGCGUGUGUGAAGAAGGCCUUCGGGUUGUAAAGCACUUUAAGCGAGGAGGCGUUACUCGCAGAAGAAGCACCGGCUAACUCCGUGCCAGCAGCCGCGGUAAUAC
rnacentral:rRNA from 1 species